AGUGCUGUCUUGUCUCCUUCUGCACUGAAGUGAAGGGAAAAACUCCCGAACAAGUAGCAUAUAUUCCCAACGCAUUAUUCACAUCAGUACAGAUGAAGGUGCAGGAGAGGAAACUAGUUUAUACAAAUCACCCCGCGACGGUCACAAGUUCAGGGAGUCGACGUUGGUUUUCUAUUUGUUCUGCAGUUGGUGUUUUGUACCGCCAGGCGUUGUUUUGAGAAGGGCGGUUACGACAGAAACCGGGCGACGUGGAAGCGUGGAGAAUGUCAUGUACGCGCGUCUCGCUUGUGAUCAACAGGGCUUCUUCCAAUAGUUUUUAAAAAACGGAUUUUCACUACAGAUAAAGGUGUAUUUUAAAUAGUAGAGAGGAUAAAAAAACAACUGACAUUCUUAAUAUCGUGCAUAAAUUAAGAUCUAUAGCCAUGGAUGAGGCAAUAGCGAUUAUUUUAAUAUCCGUUGCGAUGUUUUUGGGAUGUUUUCUAUUAGGUUUGAUUCCACUUCUGAUGAAACUUUCUGAGAAGAGGCUGCAGUUUGUUAGUGUAUUCGGGGCAGGCCUGCUCUGUGGUACAGCUCUAGCUAUCGUCCUCCCAGAAGGGGUGGAACUACUGGAAGAGUCAUGGAGAGUCUCCUCCUGCUCUGUCGCCCCAGCAGCAGCCAAUCAGAAUGCCAGUGAUGUUGGGGUCGGGCAGCAGCUCCAGGAGGAGGACCCCCCCUCUAAAGGUCUCCCAGCACGGUUCUUCAUCGGGGUCUCCCUGGUCGUAGGGUUCAUCCUCAUGUUCCUGGUGGACCAGAUCAGUAGCUACUGCUCCGGACACGAUCCACGGACUGGGAUGUCCAACAGGACCAGUAUCACAGCUACACUGGGACUGGUUAUCCAUGCUGCUGCUGACGGUGUAGCGUUAGGUACAGCCGUGGCUUCCUCCCAGGUCACAGUUCAAGUCGUGGUGUUCCUGGCUGUGAUUCUGCACAAGGCUCCUACAGCGUUUGGUCUGGUCACCUUUCUGAUGCAGGCAGGUGUAGAGAAGAAGCAGAUUCAGAAGCAUCUCUUGGUGUUCUCUGCUGCAGCACCUGUUCUCUCCAUUGGUACAUACUUUAUCCUGAACGCGAGUGGUGGUUCGCCCCAGAACCGUCUGAGUGCUGUGUGUUUCUCCCUCCUACUGCAGAGUGGUGGUUCGCCCCAGAACCGUCUGAGUGCUACAGGUGUUGGGAUGCUCUUCUCCGCUGGGACGUUCCUCUACGUAGCUACGGUCCAUGUACUACCAGAGAUCAGCUCCAGGGGGCAGCAGAGCUCUCCCCACCUCCACGGGACUGGGAGCGGGCAGCUGGAGGUCCUGGAGAGCCUCACGUUGAUACUAGGAGCAGGACUACCUGUGUUACUGGCCCUGGGACUACGUGAUGACUAGUCUUGUGAAUCGACGCUAUCCUACCAAAUCUAGUUCAUAACUCAGCUAUUGAUAAUGAACAUUGAGAAUGAAUGUGAAGGAAGCCUGGAAAUCAAGUCUAUAACUAAGACCGACUAGUUAACGCAAAGAAGACAACCCACAACAUGUUACCAAACAUUCAUUUACACUGGAGUACACCUCAACUCUUACAUAGCUAGAGAUCAAUUGGGGGUGUUUCUGUGUGUGAUGCAGUACGUGUCAGUGUCUUUCUCUGAGAGGUCAUAAGGACAUGGGCUUUGAGCAAGCCAACAAAGCUUUGAAGAGGGGUGAUAGCCAAAACCUAAAAGAAUAGAGGAGAGAGGAAUACCAAACAACUGCAUACAAUACCAAUACCCCCAUCCAAGAUGAGGCGAG